CAUGUACUCCCUCCAUCCGGAAUUACUUGUUACACAAAUGAAUAAAAAUGGAUAUAUCUAGAAUUAAAAAACAUCUAGAUACAUCUAUUCCUAUGACAAGUAUUCCAGGCGGAGGGAGUAAUUC
rfam:Hordeum vulgare subsp. vulgare, WGS project CAJW01000000 data, contig: morex_contig_1566665